rnacentral:rRNA from 1 species
UGGGGAAUAUUUCACAAUGGGGGAAACCCUGAUGCAGCGACGCCGCGUGUAGGAAGAAGUAUUUCGGUAUGUAAACUUCUAUCAGCAGGGAAGAAAAUGACGGUACCUGACUAAGAAGCCCCGGCUAACUACGUGCCAGCAGCCGCGGUAAUACGUAGGGGGCAAGCGUUAUCCGGAUUUACUGGGUGUAAAGGGAGCGUAGACGGCAUGGCAAGUCUGGUGUGAAAGGCAGGGGCUCAACCCCUGGACUGCAUUGGAAACUGUCAGGCUGGAGUGCAGGAGAGGUAAGUGGAAUUCCUAGGGUAGCGGUGAAAUGCGUAGAUAUUAGGAGGAACACCAGUGGCGAAGGCGACUUACUGGACUGUAACUGACGUUGAGGCUCGAAAGCGUGGGGAGCAAACAGG